UACGUAGGCAGCAAGCGUUGUUCGGAGUUACUGGGCGUAAAGGGUGUGUAGGCGGUCUACUAAGUCUGGUGUGAAAUCUCCCGGCUCAACUGGGAGGGUGCGCCGGAAACUGGAAGGCUAGAGUGCGGGAUGGGAGAGUGGAAUUCCUGGUGUAGCGGUGAAAUGCGUAGAUAUCAGGAGGAACACCGGUGGUGUAGACGGCUUUCUGGACCGUAACUGACGCUGAGACACGAAAGCGUGGGUAGCAAACAGG
rnacentral:rRNA from 1 species